rnacentral:rRNA from 1 species
GAUAAACGCUGGCGGCGUGCCUGACACAUGCAAGUCGUACGCGCUAUCUUUCGGGGAAGCGCGUGGCGGACGGGUGAGUAACACGUGGGGAUCUCCCUUUCAGUGAGGAAUACCGGCGAGAAAUCGCCGACAAUACCGCAUAGGCUCGGAGACGAGCAAAGCUCCUUUUCGCAGGAGCGCUGAAAGAUGAGCCUGCGGCCGAUUAGCUGGCUGGUGGGGUAAUGGCCUACCAGGGCUGCGAUCGGUAGCUGGUCUGAGAGGACGAGCAGCCACACUG